rnacentral:rRNA from 1 species
CCUACGGGGAGCAGCAGUCGAGAAUCAUUCACAAUGGGGGAAACCCUGAUGGUGCGACGCCGCGUGGGGGAAUGAAGGUCUUCGGAUUGUAAACCCCUGUCAUGUGGGAGCAAAUUAAAAAGAUAGUACCACAAGAGGAAGAGACGGCUAACUCUGUGCCAGCAGCCGCGGUAAUACAGAGGUCUCAAGCGUUGUUCGGAAUCACUGGGCGUAAAGCGUGCGUAGGCUGUUUCGUAAGUCGUGUGUGAAAGGCGCGGGCUCAACCCGCGGACGGCACAUGAUACUGCGAGACUAGAGUAAUGGAGGGGGAACCGGAAUUCUCGGUGUAGCAGUGAAAUGCGUAGAUAUCGAGAGGAACACUCGUGGCGAAGGCGGGUUACUGGACAUUAACUGACGCUGAGGCACGAAGGCCAGGGGAGCGAAAGGGAUUAGAUACCCUGGUAGUC